rnacentral:lncRNA from 1 species
UUGUUUACUAUCUUCUUCUAGGUUACUGUUUCAUAAAAAAAUAUACCAUUUUUUUAAAAAAAAUUUUUUGAACUCUUCUUACUAUUUUUGUUGGCACCAUCAUCUCAUUUUAAAACUCCAUUAAAGAACAAAAAGAAGCAUUCAAUUCAUAUUUUAACAUUUUUAUACAUCAAACAAGGAAUAUUAUUAUCUUGUUAUUUUUUUUAUGUUUUCCUUUGAAUUGGGUUGAUGUCUCAUAGAAAUAAUCCCCAUGACUACAAUGUACAAUAACUCAUAAACAUUAUAGUGGAGGGGAAAAAAGCAAUCCUAAACCAUUGGUAUGCGCAUUUGGUCAGGUUGUUGUCUUUUUGACACAUUCCCCAUUUCCAUUUUUAUUUGCCAUUUUUUCCCUAUUCGUUAUCUUUUUGCCCAUAAUUCUCUUUACUACAAAAUACUACAUUCAAAUGUACUAGUCAACUCAUGCUCGUUCACACGGACAUUUAAUUCGAAUUGAAUUCGAAUCGAAUUCGCUUAUUUCGUUCACACACUCAUCCUUUUUAAUUCGAAUUAAAAGU